rfam:Triticum aestivum genome assembly, contig: Triticum_aestivum_CS42_TGACv1_scaffold_577057_7BL
CAAUAACUCCCUCUGUCCCAAAUUUCUUGUCUUAGAUUUGUCUAGAUACGGAUGUAUCUAAUACUGUCUAGAUAUGGAUGUAUCUAAUACUAAAAUGUGACUUGAUACAUCUGUAUCUAGACAAAUCUAUACAUCCUUAUCUAGACAAAUAUAAGACAAGAAUUUUGGGAUGGAGGGAGUACUUU